AUGCCGCCGGUGCCGCUGAAGAAGGGGCUGUUCAUGGGGAUCAAUAAGGGGCACGUUGUCACCAAGCUCGAGCUCCCGCUCCGCCAUCCGACCGCAAAGGGGGGAACUGAAAUGCCGCCGGCGCCGCUGAAAACGGGGCUGUUCAUGGGGAUCAAUAAGGAGCACGUUGUCACCAAGCUCGAGCUCCCGCCCCGCCUGUCCGACCGCAAAGGAAUGAGUAUUCUGCUUCCAGAAUCUGAUCAGUUCUUAUGUUCAAGCUGCUUACUUCUCUACAUUAGGUGUGUGAAAAUUGAAACGCAGGUAGAAACUUUCUUCAGAGAGGGUGGAAUAACGAUGAAGCUAGUCAAAUCCUAG
rnacentral:rRNA from 1 species